GCUUCGGUGGCUUAGUGGUUGGAGCGUCCGCCUCGGAUGCGGGAGAUCGCGGGUUCCAUCUCUUUUCGAGUCA